UGUAUAAGGUGCUGCAGAAUUUAUCUGUGGCUUUACCAGUAAUAACCUCCGUGUGCGCAAGACAGUCAAGAGCAACAUUUCACCGGAGACAAGGUGGGUGUCCCACAGGUAAUAUUUAGAUAAAUAUGAGCCUAAACGACUGAAAUGUGGGAUGAACUGUUCAUUAUUUCUUUGUGCUCAUGUUUUGGCUAGGUGAUCUGAGGAUGAAGAUAGUGAUCUUAUGUGUUUUGGUUAUUUUCUUCUGUUCAACCACUAGGGAGAUGGUUAUGGCUAAAACAAGACCAUAUAGACACCACUCAUUUAAGAAAGAAAGUGGACCAAACAUCAUCCGAGACCUUAAAAGGCAUUCAGAUGGCACAUUCACCAGCGACUUCAUCAACAAUCUUGACAGGAUGAAAGCUAAAGAUUUUGUGGAGUGGCUGUCCAGCGUCAAAAAAGAGAGUUGUCGUGAGGACUUGCUGCAAACUCCAACAGAAGUAUGAAACAACGUUGUCUUGCAUCAUGUAGCAGCACAAAAGAAGACUCCUCCUCUAAAGCAGCUUAGCAAUAUGACAAAUACAUUUUGUAAUUGAAAUUCUAACUUUUAAAAAAUUCUGAGGAUGUACUAGGACUAUGCGUCUGAAAGUUUUCUCAAAAACCGGUCUACAGGCUGAAUUCUUGUGUGAAUUCAGAAGAAAAUGCACCUACACAGGCCAUUAUGUUCUGCAUGAACAGAAAUAUGAUUAUCUAUGAGACAAGAUUUUUAGCCCCCGCAAAAUUUUGCAACCAUAAUUUCAAAACAAUUCAUAUAUAUUUAAAAUUGGGUGCCAAUUGGGGGUGGCAAUAUAUUAUAUUUAUAACAGAUUUUAACCCGGUUGUUUUGUAUUUGGAACUGAAUUGGGCUGUAUGUAACUGGAUCUAAAUCAUACUGAUGGGAAGGAACUGGAUACAUUUAAAUUGAACUUGAAUUACCUGGAUUCUUCUCAAUUUAAAAAAAAAUGGAUGAGUCAAGAGACAUCUGUUUGGCACUAUUUAAAUAAAGCAAAUAGAAAUAAAAAUUCAAUUCA